rnacentral:ncRNA from 1 species
AAAAAGUUUUAUUUUGGCUUAAUAAUUUAUUAUUAGUUUGUUUUAUAUGUAAGUUUUUGCGUGAAUUUUUAUUUAUUUAAAUAAUAAAUUAUAUUUUAUUGUAGGCUCAGUAACUAGUAUUAUUAUUUAAGGAAACUUAGAUUUAGCUAUACUAUUAAGUAUUGGCAAAAUUUGUGCCAGCAGCUGCGGUUAUACGAAUAAUACGAAUAAAUUUUUAUCGGUUAUUUAGUUAAAUGAUUUUAUUUAGAGAUAUUAUAGGUUUAUUAGGUGAAAUUUUAAAUUUAUUGAUUUCUAUUAUAGAUUAAUUGAAGCUUUUAAAUUUUAUUUAUAAACUAGGAUUAGAUACCCUAUUAUUUAAAAUGUAAUUUAUUAACCUAGGUAGUAGUAGUUAUGUUCUUGAAACUUAAAAAAUUUGGCGGUACUUUAGUCUAUUCAGAGGAACCUGUCCUGUAAUCGAUGAUCCACGUUGUAUCUUACUUAAGUUUGUAAUCAGUUUAUAUACCGUCGUUAUUAGAAUAUUCUAUUAGGAUAAUAAUUUUCUUUAAUUUUAAUAAAUUUUAUAUCAGAUCAAGGUGUAGCUUAUGCUUAAGUAGAGAUGGGUUACAAUAAAAUUAUUUAAACGGAUUUUAUUAUGAAAAAAUUAAUGAAGGUGGAUUUGAUAGUAAAACUAUAAAGAUUAUUAGUUUGAUUUUAGCUCUAAAGUAUGCACACAUCGCCCGUCGCUCUUAUUAUUAAGGUAAGAUAAGUCGUAACAUAGUAGAUGUACUGGAAGGUGUAUCUAGAAUG